CUCCUUUCUAGAGAAAGUAUGACGACUGAAUUUUGGGCUUUUUAGGUUUGUGUUUUGCUAAUAGCUGUCAUCUUAAUUAUCAUGAAGAGUCUCGUAGCUCAGCUGGUUAGAGCGCUACACUGAUAAUGUAGAGGUCGGCAGUUCGAGUCUGCCCGAGACUACAAAAAUGAUAAAAAUGGGAAUUUAGGGUUGUUAAUUCAUUCAUACUGAAUUCUUCAGAAUGGGGAAUUAGCUCAGCUGGCUAGAGCACUUGAUUUGCAUUCAAGAGGUCGUGGGUUCGACUCCCACAUUCUCCACAAGUUUUAAUAAAAACUAAACGUUCAUUGACAUAUUGAAAAUAUUUAAAUCACAAACAACAGUUAUCCAAUUUGUGUUUGUGAUUUUAGAUACACUAAAAAGUAUAAAAUAUAUAUUUAUAUAUAUGGAUAUACGAGCAAAUUAAAUAAUAUAAGUAAAUACAAUUUUAAAGAAAAGU
rnacentral:tRNA from 1 species